UGGACACGUAAUGGAUCCUAAAGCACGAUUUAUGCGUCCCCCUGACCAAAACCUCCCACAUUAGGAUUGCUUGUUAAUGGUUGAUCAAGCUUGAUGGAUUCCCCCUCUGAAACAAGAAGUUCUGGUCCGGGAGGUAUAAUAUCAAUCACUUGGCGUCCNNNNNNNNNNAAUUAGGAAGAAAAAGGAUUCUUAUUUUGAUACAAGAAGAAUCGGCACAAGAAAAAGCCUUUUUCUUGUGCCGAAUAGACGAUUAAGAAGACCUGCAAUCCCUCCGAAAAGGAAGAAAUUUUAAUUUUAUUGUUCUCGCCUUUGCCUUGGAUUCUCUUCUUUUGCAUGGGAUAUAAAUAAGGAAUUCCAGACAUCUCAUAAACAAAAAGCAGUCUAAACAAAAAAAGGAUUUCCAAAAUAGAUCAUAGAUAAUUCUAGCAAUUGCCAAUAAAUCGAGGCUUUUUACCAACUUGAUGGUAAGAAAUCCCGGGACCUAGAAAUUCAUUUCGUACAAUUGAACCUUUUCAAACUGUUUCUUUUUGAGAACCAAAAAAACUUGUGCCAAAAUAACGGAUGCGAAGAAGAACAAAAGGCCUUGGACACGUAAUGGAUCCUGAAGCACGAUUUCUGCGUCCUGACCAAAACCUCCCACAUUAGGAUUGCUUGUUAAUGGUUGAUCAAGCUUGAUGGAUUCCCCCUCUGAAACAAGAAGUUCUGGUCCGGGAGGUAUAAUAUCAAUCACUUGGCGUCCAUCUGAUGCAUCAACUAUGGAUAUUUCAUACCCCCCCCUUUUCUUUACGUAGUAUUUUUCUUACUAUACCUGUUGACGUAGCAUUAUAGACUGUAUUGUUACUCUUGCUACCAUCAGGAUAGAUCUGUCCUCUUCCUCGGUUUCCCCCUACAUAUAUGGGAUAUUUUAAGAAAUGAGCAUCUUUCUUCGUAGCAGGAUCAGGGGAAAGAAUGGGAAAGAC
rnacentral:lncRNA from 1 species